rnacentral:rRNA from 1 species
GUACUAAUCCGCCCAGGGGAACCUGGCCCUUAAUUCGAUGAUCCACGAAACUCUUACCUUCUCUUGUGCUGCUCAGGCUUGUUAGAGGAUGGGCCUGGCGGCGAACAGUUUGCAUACCGCCGUUGUGCAGCUUAUACUGUGAAGGGAUAGAAAUAGGCGACGCAGUAGCAUGAACUACUACUAAUUCAGGUAAACGUGUAGCCUAUGGGAAGGGGCUGCUGGGUUACAAUUUUAGUUUUUACUGGAGCCACAGACGGAGGAAGAUGGUGAAAGAGGACUUGGAAGUAAUGGCCCCACAGAGAGGGGCCGUGAAUGAGGCUCUAGUGCGUGU